CACCUCCCCAUGGAGAUGUCCAGAGAGGCCCUGGGGGCCCAGAAGGUCCAGGUGAAAGGAUCUCUGAGAACUCUCAUCCAGGCCACCCUUCAUUCCGGGAAACUGAGGACCGAGCGGGAAGGGAGCUUGCCCAGACGGCUCCUGGAGUGAAUGGCUAUGUCCAGGCCCCUCCACCUCUCACUGUCCUUGACUUUGGUUUCCCUGAAGGAACGUUAGUUGUAACGCACAAGGUGAUCGCGGCUGAACCGGAGACAAUGAUGGAGAAUUAUUUCCUCAUCAACGGAGUGGAGAUUCCACUGCUCGUCAUUCCCAGCUGGGCAGUCCAGGCCCCCUUCCCCGCUGGCCCCUCUCCCGGGACGGGCGAGUCGCGCGUGGCGCGAAGGGUGACCAGGUGUCUGGAGAACGAGCCCUGUGCUCCCCGCUACUGGGCCAGGCCACUCCCUCUAGGGCCCCUAAAGCAGCCCCUAGGGGCCUCCCCCUACAGCUGGUGAGGACCCUGGGAUGGUCUGGGGGUGGUGCAAGGACCCAAGAAUGUGCCAUGGGAGACAUUUGUUAAUAUCUUAUUCUUAGUUCCCCGGGGACUGAGCCACCCCCUUCCCCAGUCCCUGCCCUCAGAGUGACCUCCACACUGGCGUGCAGUGCCCCAGGGAGCCACACCUCAUUUGCAGGACAAGCCCCCUAUAGAUUCUCCGGUUCAACUAGAGGGAAAAAUCCCCCUGAACCUCGGCCAAGGGUGUGGGGAGCGCGUCUGGAGCGGCUCCAGAGCCGGAACCCAGAGGAGGGGGAUCCUCCCAGCCUUUAUGACUGGCUUCAGAUGACUUCCUGGAAGUGGCCGAGUGUGGCUCGCAGCCCCGGGGCCUCGUCGGGGAGCAAUGUUCCGUGCAGGGGAGAAGCGCUGCCUGGCCACCCUGGCUGGGCUCCAGCCGGCAGGAUGGGUUGCCGCUUUGCUUGGGAGGGAAAAGCCCUCGUCCAGCGUCUGUGGAGCCCGCGGGUGCUCUGGACUCCUUUCCAGGACCCUGGCACCUUCCUGUGGCCUCCAGGAUGGUGAUGGUCUGCUCAGGACACAGCGGAGUCACCAAAUCUUCCUGUUUUACAGGACUGCUCACCCAGUCAGGUCCACCCUGCAAUUUGCUGUUAGAAUGCUUAGGUGAGCAGAAUCAGCCUCACGCGUUUUGCAAGGAUGAUACAAACCACUUCCAGAAAUAAACCGUGAGCCAGAGCCCCUCAUGCCCACCAUGAUAAGAACUGCACUGGCUGCCGGGGAGCGGCUUCCGCCACGUGCCAGGUUCCGCGCCAGACCUUGCCUGCUGUGUGACCUCAGGCAGUGACCCAACCUCUCUGUGCCUCGGUUUCCUUGUCUGCAUCACGAGGAUGAUGAGGGCGUCUACGUCACAGGGAAGUAUCUAGAGCAGCUCCCACGGCUAGUGUCUCUGUGCUGGGGCAACACCUCCGUUGUUUGCAGUGUCCUUGACUUUACAAGAAUGGGGCUGUAAACACUCUCUUGUGUGUGUCUUGGCCUACUUCCUUAAAAGUAAGUAAAGUCGUGCAGCGGAAUUCCUAACUGAGAGGCUGAAGGUGCAUGUUAAGUGUCGACUGGGGUGAGCAGUGUCCUGCCAACAAGGACACGAACUGGCCUUGCUCUGUGGCCUCGGGCCUGCCUCUUCUCCCGAACCCUCGCCAAUACCAGCUCACUGGAGGCAGCCUGAAAACUCCAGCGGCCUCGAUGUGGUUACACAGCAAUGGGAACAAGAGCAUACCUGGCGACACAGAUGAAUCUCCCUCAAGGCGUCAUUAGAGGCAGUGGGGGCCCCUCUGGGCACAGGUGAAGGGACGGAGGUGGGAGGGGCUCACGGGCUCUCAGGGAGAAGGUGGGAUCCACAGCGGCCACCACCUGGCUGUCGACACCUGGGCACAUACUCCGUGAUCAUUCACUGAGCCACACUUUGUUGAUUUCUGCACUUUUCCGUCAUGCGCAUCCCAUUAAAAAAAAGUUUCAAAAAAGCUCCAGGGUGCAUUUUAGUAAAAUUCAUUGUUCCGAGCGGUAAAGUCUAAACCGGGGAACAUCUGGAUCUCCAGGUCGCAGGAAAUUACAGGCCUCGUUUGGAAUACCAACGACUCGGCCACCACAUCCAUCAAAGACGGGAUGGGGAGUGAAAACAUUUCUCCCAAGGCAGGCCCAGCAGCAGGGCUGAUUGUCUUCCUCGAAAAGAACCCAUAGAUUAUUUUUAGCAUCUGAAACUCAUCUUUCCCUCCUAAAUUUGAACUUCAUGUUGCAAGGAAGCGAGCGUGUGUGCCUUCCCCAGAGAACGAAGGCUCAGCUGAAGUCACAGAGCAGCGUUUGUGGCCUCAGCCAGCGAGAAGCCAAACUCCCCUGUGCUUCAACGGGCUGAAUUUUCAUUCUGACGAACCAGUGCUGUGGUGGUUUGGCCCGAUUACAGACUCCAGACCCACGGCUGGCACAGUCCACUGCCCCUUAUGUCUUCAGGAGGUUUUCAGGUGGGAAGCAUCCACAGUCUGACACACGGGGACCCUCCUCUGGGCAGUGAAUCCGAGGCCGGGCAGUCUCCAUCUUCUCGGGUUGCAGGGAGAGCAAUGGAACCCCAUCCAUCAUAUUCCCCAAGGACCAGGAAGAGGUUUGGUUGACUGGGAAAAGUGCAACGUGAGCUCCUUCUGGUGGGUUCUGCAUUCUUUCCUAGUGAAGUAUUGUGCAUGGAAAACCAGAAUAUAUGGUCAGCAUUCUUCCUAUAAACAGAGCAAUUGUACAUUGUGGAGGAAUUACUUAGCGAUGACUGGGGGGAGGUUGCCAUGGUUACCCUGCCCCCACCACGUGGUCCCAGCUGCUGCCUACGUGGAACUGGGCAGUUCAGUACCCGACUGGCAUGUCGCUGCAGAGGCACCGCUGUCUUGUUUCUCCGUUUCCGACAGGACCUUGUGAGAGUGGGGCUGUCAUUAUGGGCCAGCAUGUUUUUAAGUUUCCUCGGCGUCUGUCACAGGAAGUCCCUGUGGAAGUCCAGGAGGUGAAAUGGACUGAGGUGGGAUGCUCCCGGCAUUGUCUGGGGGAGCAGUACCCCCAACCCCGCAGGCAGCCUCUGAGGCCCAGUGGACCCCUUGGGGCUCCAGAAAACACUGUUUGAAAAUUGCCAGACUCUUCAGCAUCUGCCCAGAGGAUCUGCUUCUCACCCUCUAAAGGCCACGCUUGAGAAAGUUCAUCUCCAGUCUGUACAGAUCCAGGCAGGCCUGAGUUCUUUCCAGCAUGAGGCUGCCUCGUGUGUACACGGAAUUCUUUUCUCACUGGUUUUCAGUAGAAUCUCAGAUGUUUUCCUAGAGGAAUCUAAGCCUGGCUCCCGGCCAUGUUGCAAAUCCCAGUCAAGAAUUCCACGUGCACAUGGAGCACGGCGCUUUUUUCCACGACUGGUUUACGUGCAGCAGAUUCUUCCAGCACCCCCGUGAAAGGCAGUCAAUGGACAGCCAAUCCCUGUGACUUUCUUGUACAGCUAAUUAAAAGCACACUCGCCGCGGGACAAGGCUCCUGGUGCUGUCCUGCCCCUGUUUGCUGGAGGGAGGUCUGGGGGCCCGUCAGGGACAGCUGCCUAUCAAGCGCCCGUGCCCCGCCCCCGCUGCCCCACCCAUGCAGGGUGCAGCUUCGGGACCCCUCCCUCUACACCUGGUCAUGGCAACUCUGGGGCCGGGGUCUGGACUUCCGACUGGAAGAUGGAUUCUAUGGAAGCCUUGGAAAUACAGAAUUAUGUGCAGAGGCGGUGCUUUGGGGACCAAGGCCUAAAGAGCUAGGAGCAUGGGGCUGGGCAGAGGGAGAGAUGGGCUGUGGAGCAGUGGCUCCAGGGCCGCAGUGCACCCCACGGGGAGCGCUGGAGCGGGUGGCGGCCUCCAGGGAAGGGGCCGAGACUCUGUAUCCUGCCUGGCAAGUCACUGGAUGUGGGUGGCCCAGGGAGGGAUGACCUCGCACAGCGGGCUCCUCUAGUCCAGAGCAGUUGCCAGAGAGACGCAGCUGCAGCGUGGGCCGUGAGCACCAGGUCCAGUGGCCACUCCAGUCACCCCAGGGGUACACACUCCACCUGGGAAAACAGCUCCUCCGGGGCUCUGGUUGAGCCCUUUCCCCGGGGACACUUAACAGAACAGGUUGGGGGCGAACACAGCAUGCCUCCCCCCUUGCCCCAUUGCCACUGGUCUCAAAGGGGAAACGGACGGCCAGUCACCCUGCUGGUGGAGUCACUUCCCUCUCAAGCUGCUGCUCCCCUGGCACGAGGAGACUGAAGUUACCAGGGGCCGGUGGUGGGGGACAACUGGGGGAGCUCUUACCGUCUCUGGUAAAAGCGAUUCUCUCUGGAACCCGGAAUUGUGUGGAUAGAAGGACAAGCUCCCCUACUUAAUUGCUGGGAGUGCUGGUGGGAGGGACCACCCCGCCUUCCCUCCCCUUGGCUCUUAGACCCGUCUGUGUGUUGACCCUCUUGGCAACAGGUCAUUGAUUUAGGGGGGAUGCCAUGUCCAGGAGGGGGCCCCGUCCUCACGCUCACAAGGUGUUGUCUCCAAGCUGACCCCUCAGCUGCAUCUUCAAAGGCCUGUCCAUGGCUCCGUCAGGCCACAGCUUCUGGGAUGUGGAAUGCCCGAGCCGGGGCAGGCUGGCCCGCCAGAGCUGAUGGUGUGCAUCUCCCCCAGCUCUGCGUCAAAGACAUCACGAUGGGAGCUCAGAAUCCGACAAGGUGGGAAUAUUCACGCCGUGGAAAUUGGCAAGUGGUUCAAAGUGGGGCUGUCCUCCCCCCAACACCUUGAGCUGGUUGUUACACACUUUCCGGCACAGAACUGGAGCGCCCACAGCUGCGCUUCCCAGCUAGGCAGCAUGCGUGCCUGGGUCUGUGUAUCGCCCGCGUGUGUGUUACCGUCUUUCGCCCUCACUACAACCCCAUCACACAGGCAUUGUCUCCACUUCACUGAUGGGGAAAAUCGGUGCAGAGAGUUCAGGGAACUUCCCAGAGUCACACAUUGAACCCAGGUGUGUCUGACUCCAGACCCCACCUUCUGAAACCCUCACCGUCCCCUGUAUGUGUCUGGUUAUGUUUUCCUUCUGGCCGAAAUUCAUUCCGUUGCUGACACCCAAAGCACUUCUGACCACGGAGAUCAACAGCAUCACUUCUUCCCUAAGUUCCUCCUUGUCUGGACAACGACUUUGGCCUCUCAGAGGGUGAGCGACUGGGCAAAGCAGAGCGUCAGAACUUCUCGGGUUCUUGCUGACUUUCCCGGGCAGCCAGAAUCUGUGGAAUCCCCGUCACAGGCCAGCCUCGUAGGAGGGAGCCCUGGAGCCUCCUGAGCGCUUCUGUCUGGGUUUCUGCCUGCCCAGCAGGAGCCACGGUGCCAGCCUGGGGCCGGGGUCGGCAUGGCGUGCAGGGGACGGGACACUGGUCCCCGGAGGAGCUGAGGGCCCCAGCCGUACCAUUUGCCUCCAGAGUUGUGCGGGUGGUUUAUGGGAGAAAGCCAGACUUCCCAGCCCCACGUUGGGCUGAAAUCAAGUGCAAUUCAUAGUACGCACACUUAGCAAGACAGAGACACUGAAACAUUCUUAAAAUAUUUCAUGAAAAGCAUUAAGGUAGUCAUUUGGGAGAAAAUAAAUGUU